rnacentral:rRNA from 1 species
AGUGAACGCUGGCGGCAGGCCUAACACAUGCAAGUCGAACGGCAGCACAGUAAGAGCUUGCUCUUACGGGUGGCGAGUGGCGGACGGUUCAGGAAUACAUCGCAAUCUACUUUUUCGUGGGUGAUAACGCAGGGAAACUUACGCUAAUACCGCAUACGGCCUACGUGGGAAAGCAGGGGAUCUUCGGACCUUGCGCGAUUGUAUGAGCCGAUGUCGGAUUAGCUAGUUGGCGGGGUAAAGGCCCACCAAGGCGACGAUCCGUAGCUGGUCUGAGAGGAUGAUCAGCCACACUGGAACUGAGACACGGUCCAGACUCCUACGGGAGGCAGCAGUGGGGAAUAUUGGACAAUGGGCGAAAGCCUGAUCCAGCCAUACCGCGUGGGUGAAGAAGGACUUCGGGUUGUAAAGCCCUUUUGUUGGGGAAGAAAAGCAGCAGGUUAAUACCCCGCUGUUCUGACGGUACCCAAAGAAUAAGCACCGGCUAACUUCGUG